rnacentral:snRNA from 1 species
AUCGCUUCUCGCCUUUUGGCUAAGAUCAAGUGUAGUAUCUGUGUCUAUCAGUUUAAUAUCUGAUACGUCCCCCAUCGGGGACUAUACAUAUUAAUGAUUUUUUCGAACAGGGAGUCGGAAGCGGGGCUUGCUCCGUCCGCUCCACGCAUCGACUCGGUAUUGCAGUACCUCCGAGAACGUGCACCCUCU